rnacentral:tRNA from 1 species
CGGGGUGUGGCUCAGUUUGGUAGAGUGUUGCGUUCGGGACGCAAAGGCCGCCGGUUCAAGUCCGGCCACUCCGACCA